rnacentral:rRNA from 1 species
AGAAAUAACAAUACAAGGCAGUUAAAAUGCUUUGUAAUUGGAAUGAUAGAAAUUUAAACCCUUUUUAAAGUAUCAAUUGGAGGGCAAGUCUGGUGCCAGCAGCCGCGGUAAUUCCAGCUCCAAUAGCGUAUAUUAAAAUUGUUGCAGUUAAAAAGCUCGUAGUUGAAGUUCUGCUAAAAGUAACCGGUCUGCUUUUAAUAAAAGUGGUAUCUUGGUGUGUAUUUAGCAAUGAUGUCCUUUGAAGUGUUUUUUACUUUAUUGUAAUAAAGCAUAUUCAGGACUUUUACUUUGAGAAAAUUAGAGUGUUUCUAGCAGGCUGACGCUUUGAAUACUGCAGCAUGGAAUAAUAAGAUAGGAUUUUAGUUCUACUUUAUUGGUUUUAAGAGCUAAAUUAAUGAUUGAUAGGGACAGUUGGGGGCAUUUGUAUUUAACUGUCAGAGGUGAAAUUCUUAGAUUUGUUAAAGACAAAC